AAACCUUCAAUAUAAAUGUUUUAAAUAUAGAAUUAUUUAUUAUAUUAUCUUGAAUGCUGUUUGUCAAUGAAAACAUUUCACCCUUAGUUUAAUGUUAUAGGCCUAGUGAUUACUUACACAAAAUCAUGUCUAAUAAAUGAACUACUAAUAAUCUACACUGCACAUGUGUACUUAUAUAUAAAUUAAUAUACACAUAUACAGAGACAUACCCAGUAUAUAUUAAUUAUAGCCUAGAAAAUGCCAAACACAGUAAAGUGAAUAAAGGAAAUGAAUUAAAAACAAGAUAAACAAACCACUCGCAUAUAUAUCGGGAUUUGAGCAGAACACACAUGUACAUCUAUAAUUAGACUAUUAAUCAUGAUUUUUUUUAGAGAUAUGAAUCCUUGGAUUACAUCUGACAGAAUAUUCUGUUUGGCUUCCAUGAAGAAAACCAGGUACAUUUAACUUUUAAAACUCCUUGGAUUCAAUAUAGUCUAGCACAGUCCUGCAGCCAUGCACCAAACUGAGUAAUGAAUGGGAGGUGGAGUUCAGGGAGAUGAAAAUAAUCAACAAUAUGUCCUCCUCAGAUCCUAAUAAAAAAAAUCUUGAUCUGGCUAGCUCCAUGCAGCAUUGAAAGCUGCUAAAAGAGUUGUUUCCCAAAACUGAUGUGGAAUAUCACUGACAAAGCUCAUGACAUCAUGGAAAGUGAGGUGAAAGUUGGUAUGACUGAGAAUCCUGUAGAAAAAAAAGAAGAUGAAAGCUCUGGUCUUAUCUGAAGAAAAGUCUGUUUACAAGAAUGAAAAAGACAGAAUUUGAUGAACAAGACUGCUUGAUUUCUAAACAAAUAUUUCUUUAUAAUCUAAAAUAACUCUUAAUUUGGUAAAAAAUAAAACACAGACAUGUUCCUUUGAAUAGGUUCCAACUGACACUCCUAAACAUGCAUUGUAAUUACUUUAUCUGUUUCCUAAAGUCUCGAGCCUAACAUUUCCUAUUUUGAACAGUAUCAGAUAGUUAUGUAUAAAUCCUACAUGUACAGUAUGAAACUUUUCUAAUUAUUUUUGCAAAAAAAAAAAAACUGUUUUAAAAAAUGAAAAAUUCCAUGACAAUGCUACUAGUAAAAGUUGUAGGCAUAAAACAUUCAGAACUGGAUCCUGCAUUUACAUGUGUAUUCUAUUUGCAUAUUGUAUUUACUAAACUCUUAUACUGAUAUUGAUUACCAUUUCAUAUGUAUUCACAUAACAUUAUCAUUAUCCACUGUCUCUGAAACUGGCACUGCCCUUAGAUGUGUGAAGCAAUUGAAUUCGGUUAUUAAUUAUUGUAUAUUUCAUUUUGUUAAUCCAAAUCCUGUUUCGGUCAAUAUUUCAUAUAUAAUUAUGAUAUGUGCAGUGCAGAAAUGUGAAAUCUUUUUUUUUUUUUUUUGAAAAGUGAAAUCUGACAGAAUUAGUACUUCUGAAUGAUUGUUAUUUAUUUAUAUUGUUAUAACUAAUUGCUACUUAAACUGUACAUGUCUCUCAAGGGCCCUUGAUUGGUGAAUAAACAUAUAUAUAUA